GUCCUCAUCGCUUAACAGGAUAAAGCAGGGCCCUCCUAAGGCCUAGCUCGAGGUUCAAGUCCUCGUGGGGACACCA
rnacentral:tRNA from 1 species